ACCUUGAUGAUAAUGGACUGAACCUCUGAACCUUAUCCUCAGGAAAAUAGACACGGAAGGCAAACAGCAUCAGAAACCCUGUGACUGUGCCUGAUUGACCCCACGCCCAGGUAUGGGAGGAGUCUGGAGUCCGUGGUACUUACCUGAGCAGAUGGGAAGGGAACUUCUGCAGGAAGUGCCAGUCACUCACCCAGUCUCACGCAGACUCCACCAGAGGCAAGUGCUUCCCUCUCUAUGAGGGCAUCUUUAUUUUCGAAGUUAGCCAAUAGCAUCUGGUUUCCUGUGUGGUACCCUAUCUUUAGAUGCUGUGACAAGCAAGCUCAACGGGCUCAACGCUCCAGGCUGGGAACCAGCUGACCGCAAGAGAGCCUGCAUUUCAAAUCUAGGGGACUUGAGACUGGGGCAAACCUGGAGAUUGCUGGGGACUGCUGGGGACUACUGGGGACUGUUGGGUGGCAGACCUGGGGAUUGCUGGAGACUGUGUGGUGGCUGACCUAGGAAUUACUGAGACCUAAGGUUUACAGGGGGCUGUGGGUUGGCAGACCUGGGGGUGGAUGGAUAUUAUUUAUUCCUAGUGAGAUGGCAGUCUGUAGCCUCGGAGUCCAGCAGCACACAAGUCAGGUCUCAAGCUCUCCUUAAUAGGGGUCUCAGGCAAGCUGUGAGGGCCCCUCUGCUUUCCAGUGUUCUUAGGAAGCCUCUGGUACCCCCUGUGCAGCACUGGGCCCAGGUUCGCUGACCACUGACCAUAUCACAACUCUUGGGAGUUCUCAGGAGCCUGCUUUGUCCAGUGAGGUAGGAACUAAAAGCUCCAGUUGCUCUCCAGCUGUUCACAUUUGAGGAAGCCUCGGUUAGUUCCCUUUCUCCUUCCUUCUGGCCUCCCUGUCUGUUCUUCUUUCCCUGCAGGAGAGAUUCACAGAGAGCCAGCAGAUCCUCACAGGCUCGCAGACAUUGGCCCUUUCCCGUUGCCCCAGCAGCUAAGUCAGGGGCUACUCAGCUUCCCCUGGGGCUCAGCUCCUCACCCCGAUCCUGUCCCCACUUCAGCUCUUGUUUUUUUGGCUUUUAUUUGUAUGAAUUCCUUGGGAACUUCACAUGUAUUUCGAUCACAAUCCCUCCUCUACCCCUCUCCUCCCAGAACCACCCCCAUCCUAUUCCAGCUCACCGACUCCGUGUCCUUAUUCAUUUCUGCUAAACUUUUUGUUUUCGAGCUUUCUUUUUAAUUAUGUAUAUGUGCCCAGGGAGGCUAGAGAACUCAGAUCUCCCUGUGGCAGUCGUGAGUUGCCCAUCACUAUAGGUGCUGGGAGUCGAACUUGUGUCCUCUGCAAGAGCAGUGUGUGCUCUUAGCCACCGAGCCAUUUCUUCAGCCCCCUGGCUUUGUUUUUGUUUGUUUUGUUGUUGAGAUAGGUCCCACACAUCCUGGGCUGGACUUUAAAUAGCUAUGGGGUUAAAAAGACCUUGAGCCUUUCAUCCUCCUGCCUCCACUGCCCAAGUCUGGGAUGCUCCACCGUUUAUGAGGGGCUGGGGAUGGAACUCAGGCUAGUCUAACAUUUUGCCAUCUGAGCUGUAUCCCCAGGGCAUUCAAGCUCUUCCUCGUGUUCCUGUCUGGAAUCUGGCUGAGAAUCUCCUACUGUUGCUGUCAACCAAUCUCAUCCGUGUCUGUUUCCCACACAACUCCACCUUCAGCUGGGGCCUGAGGGUACCCUGUGCCCACCACUCCCUUCCCAUCCAUCUUAUUCAUCUCACCAUCCGGCCAUCUACCCAUGUGCCAGAGAGGACCCCGAGUCGUAGCAUCACAGACUUAGCACUCUCGGAGGCUCCUCUCUUCUGUCUGAUGGACGGCUGCACACACCGAGGGCACUGAGCUCGCCUGAGCUUGCAGGACAUCCCAUUUCAGGGUGAGGAGGCAGCAAGCCUGCUCUAUGGACCUGAAGGCCACAGACUGUACCUCAUCCAUCUGUGCAUGUGUGUGCAAGUGUGUGUGGGUAUGUAUGUGUGGGUAUGUAUGUGUGCAAGUGUGUGUGGGCAUGUAUGUGUGCACAAGUGUGUGUGCAUGUAUGUGUGGGCAUGUAUGUAUGCACAUGUGUGUGUGCAAGUGUGUGUGGGCAUGUAUGUGUGUGCAUGUGUGUGUGUGUGUACAGUCUAUAUAGCAUAAAUGAAGUCCAGAAUAGAGCACUGAUCCCUGGCUCUGGAGCUAUAUGUGGGUGUGAGCCAUCUGACGUGGGUGCUGGGACCCACACUGACCUCUAGAAGGCAGUGAGCACUCCUAACCACUGAGCCAUCUUUCCAGCCUCCUAUUAAACUAUUUCUUUCGAGACCUAUUUUUGUUAUUUUAUGGAUAUAAGUGUUUGUCUGUAUGGCCACUGCCACAUGCAUGCUUGGACCCAAAGAGGCCAGAAGAGGGCAUCCCAGGUCCCCUGAGACUAGGGUUGUGAGUCACAUAGUGGGGCGGGAAUCAAAUCCAGGCCCUCUUCCAGAGCAGCCAGUGCUUUUAACUACCGAGCUCCCAAUUAAAGUAUUUCUAAGCAGUAGCAUUUGGAGGUGGCUGAACUACGGUGCAUUACAAAUGGAAGCAAAAGUGCUGUCAACUUUGGAAAAAAGUAUCCAGUUUACUGUGUUGAGUUGGCAUUGAACAGAAAUGGACAGCCAUAUUGGUCUAGAAAUGUUGGACUUAAUUUUUUCCCCAUUUGUACAGGGGCAAUGCACUGUGUUAAAUAUGUAAGGUCUUAUCUACGUGGGUUUGAUUACAAAAACUAAUAAAGUAUUCUCUAAAUAAUGAA